rnacentral:lncRNA from 1 species
GCCUAGUUAGUAGUGAGAGUGAUAAUUCAAAUGACAAGAUAAUCAACGAGCCAAAAAUAUCUGUCUCAAUCACUAAUGAAGCUUUGCAUUCAAGUGACAGGAGUUAUUAUUCAUCAAGAAAUGACGACCAUUGGCCUGUUGUCAGAGUGAAAGAAAUCUCAGAUGAAAAGUCCUAUUCUGGGUCCAGAUCUCCUGCUAGUCCAUAUCCUGGUUUACGGAGUGAUGAAAAAGUAAAUAAUGAGCGAGACAUGCGGAUGCGGUCUGUUUCACCACACACUCCUCCGUUUCCACCGAAGUCAAGUAGCUGUGAUAGUUCAAGGAAAGCAACUCCUUCUCCACCUGUUGAAAAAGUUUUGGAUCAUGUCAGUAGCUCAAGACAUGAGAAGUUAAAGCAUAGAAGAUCUCCAAGUUUCGAAAGAGAAGAAACAUUUAAGUGGCCAACUUCUAACAGUCCUUCUCGGUCAGUAAGGUUACAUUCGCCUCAAAUGAGAAGUAUCACUCCUCCACCCAGCCACAGAAAACGGAAGAGAAGGAAUCAUAACAGAGACUUCAAAGAAAGAGAGAGAAUGAUAGAGGCUGAUAAGCGGUUACGAAGAACCGUAAUUGUUGAAAGGCCAGAAAGGGAAAAGAAGUCUAAACAUCAAACUAGUUCCUCUUGGCGUAGAUCUAGAAGUAGAUCACCAAUUCGGUAAGUUAUUUUAUGUAUUAAUUUUCCUUUAACUUUAAGUCUGCUCUUUUUGCAGGGUUGCCAGCGACCGGGAAAGUCAGGGAAAAAAACCAACCGGCAAAAGUCAGGGAAUUUCGGUGUUGGUCUGGGAUUUUUCUGAUUUUUCGUGGAAUUAGGCGCGGGCGGUUCUAAAAAUUUAAAUCGUCGAAAAUAGCUCUCAUUUUCACUUUAACAGACUGCAUCAGAUCCAUACUUAAAAGUCAGGGAAAAAUAUUGGAAAGUCAGGGAAUGGAAAAAAAUAAUUUGGCUGGCAACCCUGUUUUUGGCACACUUGACUUGAACAAACGUAACUGAUCAUUAUUGUGUUUUAUCUUUCACUUUUCAUAGUCAGGGUUUUUUUUUUUUUUUUUGAAAGUUAUUUCUGGUUUUUACGAGAGUUGGCUCCAAAUCUGAAUUCUGUAGCAAGAAAGCUGAAAUGAGAUCGUAGAAUGAUGACUACCAGAAAAUUAACUGUUAGUUUCUCCUGUAAAAUCUUACCAUCAA